GAGCUAUCCUGUAUGAACUGGGGUAUCCUGUAAGAGCUGGGUAUCCUUUAUGAACUGGGGUAUCCUGUAUGAGCUGGGUAUUCUGUAUAAGCUGUGAUAUCCCUUAUAAACUAGGGUAUCCUGUAUGAACUGGGGUAUCCUGUAUGAGCUGGGUAUCCUUUAUGAACUGGGGUAUCCUGUAUGAGCUGGGGUAUCCUGUAUGAGCUGGGUAUCCUUUAUGAACUGGGGUAUCCUGUAUGAGCUGGGGUAUCCUGCAUGAGCUGGAUAUCGGUUAUGAGCUGAGCUAUUUUGUAUGAACUGGGGUAUCCUGUAUGAGCUGGGGUAUCCUUUAUGAACUGGGGUAUCCUGUAUGAGCUAGGGUAUGCUGCAUGGGCCUGGUAUCCUGUAUGAGCUGGGGUACGCUGUGAGACCUGGGUACCCUGUAAGAUCUGGGGUGCCCUCUGCAAGCUAGGGUAACAAAUGGACCCGUGUGUGUUCUGAGGACUGUAGAGGUUUAUCCCUCUCAGGUAAAAAUCCACAGGAAUAUUCCAGCCCCACAAGUGGCUCUGCUCCAACGAAGUCAUUCAAGAAGCAGGCUCUGUCCAAGUUGUGAGAUCCUUUUUCUGUCUUUCCCUAUGGCAAUGUCUAUCUCUGCAUGGCCAGAAGUUUUCAUCAAGAAAGCAGGGAGAGGGUGUGGAUGAGACACAUCCAUAGGUUAAGAGCUAGGUGUGGCGGUGCAUCGGGCUUCCUCUCCCGUUCCACUGAGGAGUGCGUAGUCACCGACCACUCCCAGCUGUGGAAAGCAGGCACCGCAGUCCAGAUUUGUGAUUGGGAAGAAGGCAGGGCAGAUCUGAUGGAUCUCUAGCAGUUUCCCCUCAGUAACCAUCUCUCUAGUGCCUAAGAAAUGGUGCCUGAUGGUUCAUUCAUUGUAGCAUUAUUUUUAAUACUAGAUUUAUUUUAAAUUCAGACUGUGUUAUAUGUUAUAAUACCUUUAUUUUAUACUGGAAGCAAGCGUCAAUGUAGGAGAGUCUUGAAACCCAGCACCAGAUAGUGGUUGCUAAUCCCAGUCUUCCAUACAAGGAUCCCGGGUUCUGUGAAGAAAUGCUUAAUUCUGGGACUGGGAGGGGAGUAAACAAGAUGAGCCUGGAGCAGAAAGCAAGGAAGUGUCCAAACCAAGCCAAACCAAAACACCCAGGAUGCCGCCAUAAUGGGGACAUUUUAAAGGGACAUAGGAGGCAAUGGAAAGAACCCCCAGUGGCUAAAGCUAGAGCAAUUUGAGCAACAAAGUAAGAUAGCAUUGGAAAAUAACUCAAAGUAUAGAGCCAGCCUAUUCUGAUAGAAAUGACUGAGGAAAUAAAUAAUUGGAGGGAGAGUGACAAGUUUUCUGUGCAGACUUCCAAAUAACUUAUGUAGAUCCCCUGCCCUUGAAGAGGGGAAGCACAGCUCCCCACUUUGGCCACGUGGGCUGCUCAUAAUGACUUCUUCCAAAAGGUAUGGAAAGGGGUAAGGCAGUUUUACAGUGGAGAAACCUGGCAGACACUGCUUCAGCCAGGUCAUCACGUUUAACCAUGCUCGGUUACGUUGACCCGAUGCACCCUUGAUGGGAUGGGAUGAAAGCGCUCGACCUCCAUCACAGGUGCAGUCUCCACUCAACCCACUAUGAGAAAAACAUCAAACUCCAAUUCUUCAGUGUUCCUGCCGGUCCUCCUCAGAACAGCCAAGGUCAAGGUCAUUCAACACAGGAAAGUCUGAGAAUCCAUCACCACCAAGAGGAGUCUAAGGAGAACUGAGGAUUGAGGGCCAUGGGGUGUCCCGGCUGGGGUCCGGGGUAGAGACGGAUUUUAGACGAUCUGCUGUGCAGAUCAUGAACCGUCGCCGCAGUGCCAGACAGACUCUUCAUCCGGACCGGCCGUCCCACUGGGUCCCCUCAGGAAAGCGCAGAAGCCGGGGACCCCAAACCGCGUCCAGCUCCUCCCACCCGCCCUUCUCGGAGCCGCGCACUUGGUAACUUGCGUGUGAAGAACUCACGGCCGUGUUGCCAGGAAACUGCGGGGAGCAGCCUUUGUGGUCUCACAUAUGCGUAACAUAAUAAUAAAUAACGGUUAACGUGAUAAUAAAUAAACAAAUAACAAUAAUUAUAACGUGCCCCAAGCCUGUUGUUUCUCCAAAAUUAAUUUAUGAUGAAUUACGACUCGAAUUCCUCGGAACAUACCAGUGGGAAGAGGAGAGGGGGCUAUUUUAUUUGCCACUGGGCUCAGAGUAGGGUUAAGAACUGUCUUUCCCUGAGCCAGACCUUGUCCCAGGUCCCUGGUAACCCAGGGAAGGUCGCCAGAGAGGAAUUCUCUCUUUCCCUCUGCUUCUCACAUCUCCUCCUCUGCCUAGGACAGUGAAGUUUUUUAGAUACUUUACUUGCAUUUCUAAUUCAGUUAUUCUUCUGAAAUUUAUUCAAAGGAUUUAUGCUUAUGAAAUUAUAAUAUAAUGCUGCCUAUAUGCCAAUGAGCUGGAGGCAAAGAAAAUAAUUUUCUUCAAUUUACAGUUAUGAGGCUGGAGGAAAAUGAUGCCUUCUUAUCACCUCUUUCUCUUUGUAUGUCUCGGUAUUUUUUUAAGUCUUCAGAAGGCAGGAGCUGAUGAUGAAUUCUUAAGCAGAUCACACUGAUAAUUGUAUUUCAGAGCUGUCAGCGCUGGGAAGACUGGCCAGCGACUGUCUCCAUGCACUUGAGCUAUUUGUGUCGCUGCCUUCCUUCUCAGGAACUCAGCCCUCAAUAAAGCCAACUCGCUGGGGAUAUUGUUAAAUCGUCUGAGAGGAUUAUUAGAUCGAAGGGAAAUUUAUGGAUGACACUUUGUAACAAUUAAUCAGGAACUGUUGAUGAAGUUUAAGUUGGUUCUUUAUUCCUGGACCAAAAAAAUAUAUAUAUACGUAUAUAGAUGUGUGUGUAUAUAUAUAUAUACACACACACAUAUAUAAAAUCAUAAUAAUAUUCAGCCCUUGUUCCAAUUGUCAAAUGGCUCAUUUUGUCACUCUGUUUGAUUAAUGAACCUUUUGGAGUCCCCCAAAAGUCCUAGUAAUACAAAUAAAGAGAAUCAUAAAUAUUGAAUAAGCUCACAGCACAGUUAACCUUGACUACAUUUUGGGACAUACUUGGAGAAACUUUGCUAUACGGAAAAUAAAUUGCUGUGGGGAUUAAAAAAAUAUGCACACCCAUACCAAAUUGGAGAUUUUGGAGAAUGUCACCUCUCUGACCUUGUCACUCUUAAUAAUCUGUUGUGAUUAAUUAGUUUAGUUAGCUUUACAAUCAGGUCAGCAGAGCGCCGGCAUGCUGGCGUGUUUUACCGAUGGGUCCCUGCCCAGCCCAGAAAGGGAUGCGGGCUGGGGUGAGGGAGGGUCUGGAGCUAAUGGGGCUGGUGUUCUAACCUCACAAGGUACUAAACGAGGGUGAUGGGUGAGGACGAUUUCAGGUCGUAAUUUACGGAGCAGGGCCCUGGGUGGGGGCAGGGAGCCUUCAUUGUGUGUUGGUUCUUGUGUUGAGUGCACUCACCCUUCUCAGGCAAAGAUCCCCCCUCACCAGCUUGGAGCUUUUGCUGACACCCCUUCAAAGUUCUGAUUCCAGAUCUGACCAGUUAUUUGACCCAGAAAACAGAUUCUAACUAGGCUGUAAUGACUUGCAAUUUUUGAAUGUAGCAUCUAGUCCAGGGGUUAAGAUUCCAGGGUAAGAGAGAAGUGGAUUUGAGUUCUCCUCUGCCGUAUCAGAGCCGUGUGGCCCUGGGCGGUUGGCUUUGACUUUCCGAGUCUCGGUUUCCUUAUCUGUAAAAUGGAGUUUCUACAUCCUAGGAUUUUUACAAGGAUGAAGUGAAACAAUUCAAAGAAACAGCUUGGCCAAAUGUCCAGCAUGCAAUACUCUGCAGUGGGUAGGACUGUGUCGUCCUGCAAUAGAAGUUGAAGUCCUAACCCCUGAGACCUGUGAAGGUGACCACUAGGGUACGCCUUAAGCCAAUGACUGGUGUCCUUAUAUAAGAAUCUGGACACAGUCACGGGGAAGACAGCCACACAAAGCCAGAGGCAGAGAUCGGAAGAUGCAGCUGCAGGCCAAGGACGGCCAGAAUUCACGGAGCCGAAGCGCCGGAGAAGCCAGGAAGGAUCUUCCCACAGAGCCUUCGGAGGGGCGGGGCCCUGCCGACACCUGGGUUUUGGAUUUCUAGUCUCUAGGACUGUGAGAAUACAUUUCCGCCGCUUCCAGCCAUGUUUUCCGUCAUUUGUGAAGGCAGCCUUUGGAAACUGAUACGUGCUGUAGGGUCACUGUGAUCUGGUUUGCAGGGAACAAGUAAGGUGGGGCUGAGGACUUGGCCUGAUGUGCCUGGCACUCGGUUUCUUGCUCCCCCUGAAUAGUCCUGAUCAUGCCAGCUGCCGCCCCACGCAGGCUGAGCGCCGCGAAGGCCGGGAUGCCGCUUCUCGCGUAUGGGUGAGGAGCCGUGGUUCGUUCAGUUCAGCAGAGCGCCAUCGCCGCCCCUGAAGUCCAGCUCUUAGGAUCAGCGCUCAGAACCCCAGACUCUGUGACGUCGUUGUAGAUGCAAAGUUGUCUCUGGUACAGGCCAAAGUGAUUCAUUUCAUGGUAUUGAUUUAUGUUGCCUUUUCUAAAAGUACAGUUAUUUCUAAAUAAAGACAACAUUUAAAAGUUAAGAAGUAAAUUACAAUAACGUUACUUAAAUUAUCAGCUUAAAAAUAAGGAACCUCACAUUACAUAGCAAAUAUAUCCUCGGAAAGUUGCAAGCGAGUGCAUUUUUUGUACGUAAUGUCUUAUUUUCCUGUUGACUUAUAAUGAGAAAUUCAAAAAAUCUAUUUCCUCCCAAAGAACAAUAUUGGCCCCAUUACACUAAAAAUUACACUGGAUCCUGCCAUUUCCUUUGUCAUUGUGGAACCAACAUGUUCCAGCCGUGACGUAAUCCUUCCAAUUCCUGGCUCCCGCUCUCCUCCAAGACUUUCCCGCAGGUCAUUGCAGAUCGCCACCUUCUGCCAAAGGUUUUCACCGACUCUCUGGUCCGACGAGGAACGCUGCUGAGCCUGACUCUAGCAGGAGGAAUAUGAGCCACAAUUGUAUGAAAAUCUUUCCUGGACACCUUCGGAUAAGAUGAAAUAAACUUGGAGAAUGGCAUCUGUGUUGGAAGAAAGUUCUGGACUCCACAGUGGCUUGCUCCAGAAAAGCCAAACCAUCAGCUCUCUUGACAGCACAGAGAAUGCCAGUGUGUGGGAAACAGACCGCGGUCACCCUGAGCGGCAAGGGGCUUUCCAGUGCUUAGGCUCUGAAUGUGAAACAUUUUAGAAAGAGAUGAAACAAUUUUUUUCGCUUGUAUUUUCCUAUGUGUUUGAAGGUCGAUAGAUGAUAAAAAUGUGUCUGAAUAAGUCUGAUUUAGUCUCAAAGAUCUCUUUCAAUAAACCUAAACAUUUCAAACAGAUAAGACAGGAUUGUGUGAUAGUUUAAUUGGUGGUUGUUUUUCUUUCUUCAUGGUACAUAAGUUAACAGUGCCUCUUUUAAAGGUUAAGUCUCAAAUUUGAUAAAAUACUACGUGGUUGGCAUCAGGAAGCUAGAAUGCUCCAAAUCAGGACAAAAGACCAUGUCAGAAUAAUAUCUGGGCCCCAGGCAGAAGUGGAACAGACUACCGGAACCCUAUGCCUCGUGAACUCCGGUCACGCAAGGGUUGAAGUGCCACUCAACGUUUCUAGCCAACUCACACGUGUUGCAUGGCAUAUCUUAUUCCAGUCAUUUGAUUUCAGUAUUUUUGUAUAUUUGUUUUUAGUAUAUCUGUUGUAAACAGCCUAUAACUGCAUUUUUUAAACAGUUGGACAAUUUUUCUCUUUGAAGUGGAGCAAUUAGCCUAUUUAGAGCAGAUAGAAUUAGGGGUUUAUUGGAUUCAUACUUGGUAUCUUGCUCCUUGCUCUCCUCUUCCCUCCACUGCACCCUGAGCCUGGUCUGGUUCUUCCUCUUUCUCAUCUUCCUUAUCUUCUUCUUCUUCUUUUUUUUUUUU
rnacentral:lncRNA from 1 species